rnacentral:rRNA from 1 species
ACCGGAGUAAUCCAGGUCAGUUUCUAUCUAUAAAGAGGUUUUUUCUAGUACGAAAGGNCCGAAAAAACAUGGCCUAUACUUUAUGCAAGNNAUAAUUAUUAACUUAUGACCAAAUCUUAAUAAGUACUUAAUCCACCAUUAAACUCAAAAAAAGAGCA